GGGCCCGCACAAGCGGUGGAGCAUGUGGUUUAAUUCGAUGAUACGCGAGGAACCUUACCAGGGCUUAAAUGUAAGAUGCAUUAGCUAGAGAUAGCUAUUUCUUCGGACUUCUUACAAGGUGCUGCAUGGUUGUCGUCAGCUCGUGCCGUGAGGUGUCAGGUUAAGUCCUAUAACGAGCGCAACCCCUACUCUUAGUUGCCAUCAGGUUGGGCUGGGCACUCUAAGGGAACCGCCGGCGUCAAGCCGGAGGAAGGCGGGGAUGACGUCAAGUCCUCAUGGCCCUUAUGGGCUGGGCUACACACGUGCUACAAUGGCGCCUACAGUGGGCAGCGAGAGGGCGACCUCGAGCG
rnacentral:rRNA from 1 species